UGCAGCUGAGGUUUGUCACUGUUACCCGUUGGCUCUCUGUCAGGAAUGCUCAUCUUUUAUGGAUCCGGAGCCCACAGCUUUUAGUGACGCAGUUUGAGCAUACACAAUAAAGCUGUGCUAACCCUAAGAAAUCAAUCGCCCAGAAGUAGCUCCUGGUUGGCAAACAGCAUGGAGACAAUUGUUGCCAACACCCAGCCACCUGACUCUGGGAUGUCUCAUCGUUGACUGAUGUCAUUAGGAACCGUAUUGUUCUUAUCGACCAGGGGUUAAGGAGCUACGGGAGGACACAGCGUGUAAAACCGCUUGCGGGAUGUAAAUAAGAUGGAUGGGGGGCCAGAGCAGCACACUCACCUCGAAAGCUGGUGACUGUGUAGAAAGGCCGCAGUCAGAGCAUACAGCACCCAGCCGUGAGCUCUAAAGAAUUCCUGAAUGACCAGGCCAGUCUACAGACACGGUGUAAGUUAAUAUUUAUGACA
rnacentral:lncRNA from 1 species